UACGAAGGGGGCUAGCGUUGCUCGGAAUGACUGGGCGUAAAGGGCGCGUAGGCGGAUGACACAGUCAGAUGUGAAAAUUCCCGGGCUUAACCUGGGGGCUGCAUUUGAUACGUGUUGUCUAGAGUGAGGAAGAGGGUUGUGGAAUUCCCAGUGUAGAGGUGAAAUUCGUAGAUAUUGGGAAGAACACCGGUGGCGAAGGCGGCAACCUGGUCCUUGACUGACGCUGAGGCGCGAAAGCGUGGGGAGCAAACAGG
rnacentral:rRNA from 1 species